UGAACGCUGGCGGCGUGCCUAAUACAUGCAAGUCGAGCGAACAGACGAGGAGCUUGCUCCUCUGACGUUAGCGGCGGACGGGUGAGUAACACGUGGAUAACCUACCUAUAAGACUGGGAUAACUUCGGGAAACCGGAGCUAAUACCGGAUAAUAUAUUGAACCGCAUGGUUCAAUAGUGAAAGACGGUUUUGCUGUCACUUAUAGAUUGAUCCGCGCCGCAUUAGCUAGUUGGUAAGGUAACGGCUUACCAAGGCGACGAUGCGUAGCCGACCUGAGAGGGUGAGCGGCCACACUGGAACUGAGACACGGUCCAGACUCCUACGGGAGGCAGCAGUAGGGAAUCUUCCGCAAUGGGCGAAAGCCUGACGGAGCAACGCCGCGUGAGUGAUGAAGGUCUUCGGAUCGUAAAACUCUGUUAUUAGGGAAGAACAAAUGUGUAAGUAACUAUGCACGUCUUGACGGUACCUAAGCAGAAAGCCACGGCUAACUACGU
rnacentral:rRNA from 1 species